UUCGGAAGGGAUGUGUUUAUUAGAUAAAAAANCCAAUGNCCCUUCGGGGCUUUUUGGUGAUUCAUGAUAACUUUACGGAUCGCAUAGCCUUGCGNCUGGCGACNGGUUCAUUCAAANNNUUUCUGNCCCUAUCAACNUUUCGAUGGUAAGGUAUUNGGCUUANCCAUGGUUUCAACGGGUAACGGGGNAAUUAGGGUUCGAUUCCGGAGAGGGAGCCUGAGNAAACGGCUACCACAUCCAAGGAAGGCAGCAGGCGCGCNAAAUUACCCAAUCCCGACACGGGGAGGUAGUGACAAUAAAUACUGAUACAGGGCUCUUUUGGGUCUUGUAAUUGGAAUGAGUACAAUUUAAACCUCUUAACGAGGAACAAUUGGAGGGCAAGUCUGGUGCCAGCAGCCGCGGUAAUUCCAGCUCCAAUAGCGUAUAUUAAAGUUGUUGCAGUUAAAAAGCUCGUAGUUGAAACUUGGGCCUGGCUGGCGGGUCCGCCUCACCGCGUGCACUCGUCCGGCCGGGCCNUUCCUUCUGAAGAACCUCAUGCCCUUCACUGGGCGUGCUNGGGGAAUCAGGACUUUUACUUUGAAAAAAUUAGAGUGUUCAAAGCAGGCCUUUGCUCGAAUACGUUAGCAUGGAAUAAUAAAAUAGGGCGUGCGUUUCUAUUUUGUUGGUUUCUAGAGACGCCGCAAUGAUUAACAGGAACAGUCGGGGGCAUCAGUAUUCAGUUGUCAGAGGUGAAAUUCUUGGAUUUACUGAAGACUAACUACUGCGAAAGCAUUUGCCAAGGAUGUUUUCAUUAAUCAGUGAACGAAAGUUAGGGGAUCGAAGACGAUCAGAUACCGUCGUAGUCUUAACCGUAAACUAUGCCGACUAGGGAUCGGGCGAUGUUCUUUUUCUGACUCGCUCGGCACCUUACGAGAAAUCAAAG
rnacentral:rRNA from 1 species